UCACUGACGCUCAUGGACGAAAGCCAGGGGAGCGAAAGGGAUUAGAUACCCCUGUAGUCCUGNCCGUAAACGAUGANCACUAGGUGUCGGGGGAAUCGACCCCCUCGGUGUCGUAGCCAACGCGUUAAGUGUUCCGCCUGGGGAGUACGCACGCAAGUGUGAAACUCAAAGGAAUUGACGGGGGCCCGCACAAGCGGUGGAGUAUGUGGUUUAAUUCGAUGCAACGCGAAGAACCUUACCAGGGUUUGACAUCCUGCGAAUCUCUUGGAAACAGGAGAGUGCCUUAGGGAACGCAGUGACAGGUGGUGCAUGGCUGUCGUCAGCUCGUGUCGUGAGAUGUUGGGUUAAGUCCCGCAACGAGCGCAACCCACGUCUUUAGUUGCCAGCAUUCAGUUGGGCACUCUAGAGAGACUGCCGGUGAUAAACCGGAGGAAGGUGUGGAUGACGUCAAGUCAUCAUGCCCCUUACAUCCUGGGCUACACACGUACUACAAUGCUACGGACAAAGGGCAGCAAGUUCGCGAGGACAAGCAAAUUCCAUAAACCGUGGCUCAGUUCAGAUCGUAGGCUGCAACUCGCCUACGUGAAGGCGGAAUCGCUAGUAAUCGCAGGUCAGCAUACUGCGGUGAAUACGUUCCCGGGCCUUGUACACACCGCCCGUCACACCAUGGAAGUUGGCCACGCCCGAAGCCGUUACUCCAACCCUUGUGGAGGAGGACGUCGAAGGUGGGGCUGAUGACUGGGGUGAAGUCGUAACAAGGUAACC
rnacentral:rRNA from 1 species